rnacentral:rRNA from 1 species
CAGGUUGAAGGUGCGGUAAAACGCACUGGAGGACCGAACCAGGGCACGUUGAAAAGUGCUUGGAUGACUUGUGGGUAGCGGAGAAAUUCCAAACGAACUUGGAGAUAGCUGGUUCUCUCCGAAAUAGCUUUAGGGCUAGCGUCGACAUAGAGAUUCUUGGAGGUAGAGCACUGUUUGGGUGAGGGGUCCAUCCCGGAUUACCAAUCUCAGAUAAACUCCGAAUGCCAAUGAAUUAUGGUCGGCAGUCAGACUGCGAGUGCUAAGAUCCGUAGUCGAAAGGGAAACAGCCCAGACCACCAGCUAAGGUCCCAAAAUAAUUGUUAAGUGGAAAAGGAUGUGGGGUUGCACAGACAACUAGGAUGUUAGCUUAGAAGCAGCUAUUCAUUCAAAGAGUGCGUAAUAGCUCACUAGUCGAGUGACCCUGCGCCGAAAAUGUACCGGGGCUAAAACAAUUUACCGAAGCUGUGGAUACCUUUAUAGGUAUGGUAGGAGAGCGUUCUAUGUGUGAAGAAGGUAUACCGUGAGGAGUGCUGGAACGCAUAGAAGUGAGAAUGCCGGUAUGAGUAGCGAAAGACAGGUGAGAAUCCUGUCCACCGUAAGACUAAGGUUUCCAGGGGAAGGCUCGUCCGCCCUGGGUUAGUCGGGACCUAAGGAGAGACCGAAAGGUGUAUCCGAUGGACAACAGGUUGAUAUUCCUGUACUAGAGUAUGUAGUGAUGGAGGGACGCAGUAGGCUAACUAAAGCAGACGAUUGGAAGAGUCUGUCUAAGCAGUGAGGUGUGAAUUGAGUUAAAUGCUUAAUUCUAUAACAUUGAGCUGUGAUGGGGAGCGAAGUUUAGUAGCGAAGUUAGUGACGUCACACUGCCAAGAAAAGCUUCUAGCGUUUAAACAUACUCUACCCGUACCGCAAACCGACACAGGUAGUCGAGGCGAGUAGCCUCAGGUGAGCGAGAGAACUCUCGUUAAGGAACUCGGCAAAAUGACCCCGUAACUUCGGGAGAAGGGGUGCUGACUUUAAGUCAGCCGCAGUGAAUAGGCCCAAGCAACUGUUUAUCAAAAACACAGCUCUCUGCUAAAUCGUAAGAUGAUGUAUAGGGGGUGACGCCUGCCCGGUGCUGGAAGGUUAAGAGGAGUGCUUAGCGCAAGCGAAGGUAUGAAUUGAAGCCCCAGUAAACGGCGGCCGUAACUAUAACGGUCCUAAGGUAGCGAAAUUCCUUGUCGGGUAAGUUCCGACCCGCACGAAAGGCGUAAUGAUUUGGGCACUGUCUCAACGAGAGACUCGGUGAAAUUUUAGUACCUGUGAAGAUGCAGGUUACCCGCGACAGGACGGAAAGACCCCAUGGAGCUUUACUGCAGUUUGAUAUUGAGUGUCUGUACCACAUGUACAGGAUAGGUAGGAGUCUAUGAGAUCGGGACGCCAGUUUCGAAGGAGACGAUGUUGGGAUACUACCCUUGUGUUAUGGCCACUCUAACCCGGAUAGGUGAUCCCUAUCGGAGACAGUGUCUGACGGGCAGUUUGACUGGGGCGGUCGCCUCCUAAAAGGUAACGGAGGCGCCCAAAGGUUCCCUCAGAAUGGUUGGAAAUCAUUCGCAGAGUGUAAAGGUAUAAGGGAGCUUGACUGCGAGAGCUACAACUCGAGCAGGGACGAAAGUCGGGCUUAGUGAUCCGGUGGUUCCG